CAGUCGCCACGGUAAUACGUAGGUGGCAAGCGUUGUCCGGAAUUAUUGGGCGUAAAGGGCUCGCAGGCGGUUUCUUAAGUCUGAUGUGAAAGCCCCCGGCUCAACCGGGGAGGGCCAUUGGAAACUGGGAAACUUGAGUGCAGAAGAGGAGAGUGGAAUUCCACGUGUAGCGGUGAAAUGCGUAGAGAUGUGGAGGAACACCAGUGGCGAAGGCGACUCUCUGGUCUGUAACUGACGCUGAGAAGCGAAAGCGUGGGGAGCGAACAGGAUUAGAUACCCCCGUAGUCCCUGUCUCUUAUAA
rnacentral:rRNA from 1 species